rnacentral:rRNA from 1 species
GACGAACGCUGGCGGCGUGCUUAACACAUGCAAGUCGAACGGAAAGGCCUCAGCUUGCUGGGGUACUCGAGUGGCGAACGGGUGAGUAACACGUGGGUGAUCUGCCUUGCACUCUGGGAUAAGCUUGGGAAACUGGGUCUAAUACCGGAUAUGAACUGCCUUUAGUGUGGUGGUUGGAAAGUUUUUUCGGUGCAAGAUGAGCUCGCGGCCUAUCAGCUUGUUGGGGGGGUAAUGGCCUACCAAGGCGUCGACGGGUAGCCGGCCUGGGAGGGUGUACGGCCACAUUGGGACUGAGAUACGGCCCAGACUCCUACGGGAGGCAGCAGUGGGGAAUAUUGCACAAUGGGCGGAAGCCUGAUGCAGCGACGCCGCGUGGGGGAUGACGGCCUUCGGGUUGUAAACUCCUUUCGACAGGGACGAAGCUUUUUGUGACGGUACCUGUAGAAGAAGCACCGGCUAACUACGUG